GCCAGAUCCUUAGAUCCCUAAUAACUAGCCUGUGGCCCUUUUAACAAGCAGCCGCCCACGGAGGCAGGAACCUGGGCAAGUCCGGCCUGCGGGUCUCCUGCCUGGGGCUCGGUGAGUAUGGGGGGCCCUUUACCACCAAGGAACAGGGCUGCAGGAGGGCUA
rnacentral:lncRNA from 1 species